GGUUGACCUCAGAUCAGGUAGGAAUACCCGCUGAACUUAAGCAUAUCAAUAAGCGGAGGAAAAGAAACCAACAGGGAUUGCCCUAGUAACGGCGAGUGAAGCGGCAACAGCUCAAAUUUGAAAUCUGGCCUCACGGUCCGAAUUGUAAUUUGUAGAGGAUGUUUCUGGCGACGUGUCUUCCGAGUUCCCUGGAACGGGACGCCAUAGAGGGUGAGAGCCCCGUCCGGUCGUACACCUAGCCUCUGUGAAACUCCUUCGACGAGUCGAGUAGUUUGGGAAUGCUGCUCUAAAUGGGAGGUAUACGUCUUCUAAAGCUAAAUACCGGCCAGAGACCGAUAGCGCACAAGUAGAGUGAUCGAAAGAUGAAAAGCACUUUGAAAAGAGGGUUAAAUAGUACGUGAAAUUGCUGAAAGGGAAGCGCUUAUGACCAGACUUGGGCUCGGUGAAUCAUCCGGCGUUCUCGCCGGUGCACUUUGCCGUCCCAGGCCAGCAUCAGUUCGCGCCGGGGGAUAAAGGUUUCGGGAAUGUAGCUCCCUCGGGAGUGUUAUAGCCCGUUGCGUAAUACCCUGGCGUGGACUGAGGUCCGCGCUCUGCAAGGAUGCUGGCGUAAUGGUCAUCAGUGACCCGUCUUGAAACACGGACCAAGGAGUCGUCUUCGUAUGCGAGUGUUCGGGUGUCAAACCCCUACGCGUAAUGAAAGUGAACGUAGGAGAGAGCUUCGGCGCAUCUCCGACCGAUCCUGAUGUUCUCGGAUGGAUUUGAGUAAGAGCAUACGGGGCCGGACCCGAAAGAAGGUGAACUAUGCCUGUAUAGGGUGAAGCCAGAGGAAACUCUGGUGGAGGCUCGCAGCGGUUCUGACGUGCAAAUCGAUCGUCAAAUAUGGGCAUGGGGGCGAAAGACUAAUCGAACCUUCUAGUAGCUGGUUUCCGCCGAAGUUUCCCUCAGGAU
rnacentral:rRNA from 1 species